rnacentral:rRNA from 1 species
CCUACGGGGGGCAGCAGUGAGGAAUAUUGGUCAAUGGACGCAAGUCUGAACCAGCCAUGCCGCGUGCAGGAAGACGGCUCUAUGAGUUGUAAACUGCUUUUGUACGAGGGUAAACGCAGAUACGCGUAUCUGUCUGAAAGUAUCGUACGAAUAAGGAUCGGCUAACUCCGUGACAGCAGCCGCGGUAAUACGGAGGAUUCAAGCGUUAUCCGGAUUUAUUGGGUGUAAAGGGUGCGUAGGAGGUCGGAUAAGUUAGAGGUGAAAGGCCGAGGCUCAACUUCGGAAUUGCCUCUGAUACUGGUAGGCUAGAGAGCAGUUGAGGUAGGCGGAAUGCAUGGUGUAGCGGUGAAAUGCUUAGAGAUCAGACAGAACACCGAUUGCGAAGGCAGCUUACUAAGCUGCUUCUGACGUUGAGGUACGAAGGCCAGGGGAGCGAAAGGGAUUAGAUACCCUAGUAGUC